rfam:Nippostrongylus brasiliensis genome assembly, scaffold: NBR_scaffold0006398
CAUGUGGUCCGGAGCCAGAGGGUUAUCCACGUAGUGUUUCGACACAAUCUUUCCCGACAGGGCCCUCCUUCCCUCUGGCACUCACUUGACCACAU